AGCGUAAGCUAGUAAGACCCCUGAAAGACUAUCAGGUUGAUAGGUUGGAGGUGUAAGUACAGUAAUGUAUUCAGCUGCCCAAUACUAAUAGGUCGAGGGCUUGAUCAAAUU
rnacentral:rRNA from 1 species